ensembl:lncRNA
ACAGAGGGCUCGCCCCCAAGCCCUGAGUUUUUGUUUCAGUAGCUCUGUCGUGGGCAGGGGUAGAGGGAAAAGGACGAGAAUUUUGUUCCCAGGUAAUGCUAAUACUGCUGGUUCAGGGACCAUACUUUGAGAACCACUGAUACAGAGGUAUGAAUGAAAUCAUACGAUAUUUGUCUUUCACUGACUUACUUUGCUUCGCAUAAUACCCUCAAGAUCCAUCUACAUUGUCACAAAUGGUACUAUUUUUCCUUUUUUAUGGCUGAGUAGUAUUCCAUUGUGUGUGUAUAUACACAUACAGACACACACACACCCCACAUCUUCUUUAGGAUCAUGUUAUCUCUCCUGCCAACCCCUCGGUACAUAGCUGUAUAUUCUUAGUUGUGGGUCCUUCCAGUUGUGGCAUGUGGGAUGCUGCCUCAGCGUGGCUUGAUGAGCAGUGCCAUGUCCGCGCCCAGGAUUCGAGCCGACGAAACCCUGGGCCGCCUGCAGUGGAGUGCGCAAACUUAACCACUCGGCAGUGGGGCCGGCCCCCAUCCACUUCCUGAUGUCACAUGUCUGCACCUCCAUCUAGAUUCCUUGAUGACAUGCCUUCCCUGUCCCAGAGCUGGAGGCAGUUCUGGAUGUGUGCACAGCAGCCUCUGGGGACCUUCCACAUUUUCCAUCUGCUGCUGGAGCCCAUUUUCUUGAACCUUAGUUUCCUGCCUGAAGACGGGAACAAUUUAUACCCCCUUCUCCAUGAGCUUGGAAGGCUGACAGAGAAGAUUAAGAUCAUUGCCAUCAAGUUUUUAUCUGCUAUAAGCAAAAACAGGAAACCAAGAAAUAAAGGCACAGCUUAGCAAUAGCUUCUGAGUGGGUAACAUGGGAGAAGUUUUUCUUAAAUCCUCUUUCCCAUGUACCUUCCCACCCACAUGUUCUUAGUCAGAUUUAUUUUUUGCAUAUCAGUUUCUGAGGAUGACAAGAAACUUGCCCUUUUCUUAACUAUGGUUUUCAGAAGCAGAUUAUCCUGCGCUUAGUCGAGACCUCUUACUGAACCCUUGGAAUAAAUAAUACCCUGGGCUUAGGAAGUGGGUGUUGAAUAGAGAUUUUAUGACUCAUAAUGGAGUGUCAAAAUAGCCACUGCUGAUGUAUGGGUUCCUUAUCAGUUUUGGAAAUGACCCUGGGUAGAGCCGCACUUUCCUCUUGUAUUGAAAUUCCGUGAUUGAGGGAAAGUUUUAACAAGAACGUUCAGCAUCUCUUGAUAUUUAAAAGUCCCACAUUGAAUGGUGGCAUUUUUCAAAGGGGACUUGAGUUUAGCCUGGAAAGGCAGCUGUCCUCAGAAGAGGGGACCAGAGCAUUUCUCCAGGGUGGGCAGCUCAGGACCUAAGCUGCCAGGAUGAAUGGAGAAAAAGAUUGGCAUUUCCCUAGCCUAUGUCUUGAGGUUCUUGUUCUCAAAGGAGGAUGAGGUCAGGGUUCUACGCUUUCUCCUAGAGUAGAAUGAGAGAUCUCUCAUAAUAUCCAGCAGUUAGCAACAUUUCUAGGGCUCAGACCUUUGCUAUUCUCUCUCCCCUGCUGGAGGAAAUGAAAGGUAUAGUUCUCUCCUUAGGUCUGAGGGCAGCCUCACCUUGAGCUGAGCCCUCUCUUGGGAUAUUAUCUCAACUACCACACUCUCAGCAUAGGCCCCAUUAGUAAAGUCUUCUCAUUAGUGAUUGUUUUGUAGUAAUGAGGUUCUAUGAUAUGCCCCUUAGAUUGUUAGUUCUCCAUGUAGAUACCAUUCAGACAACAAAUAUAUCUACUGUGUUCAUGGUACAGUGGGCUACUUGAAAACAAUAUGAAAUAUAUUUCUAUUCCUCAUGAGUUCAAGAGCCAGUUGGGGAGAUUAAAAAAAACCUAGACAAAGUAGAGAAAAAUACAGGUCAGCUUAAAAUGGAGUGCUAGAUUUUGUGAUUCAGACUAUAGGGCUUAGCAGGAAAGAGGAGAGAGAAGUAAUGUGGGC